GUUUGAUCCUGGCUCAGGAUGAACGCUAGCUACAGGCUUAACACAUGCAAGUCGAGGGGAAACGACAUCGAAAGCUUGCUUUUGAUGGGCGUCGACCGGCGCACGGGUGAGUAACGCGUAUCCAACCUGCCCAUCACUUGGGGAUAACCUUGCGAAAGUAAGACUAAUACCCAAUGAUAUCUCUAGAAGACAUCUGAAAGAGAUUAAAGAUUUAUCGGUGAUGGAUGGGGAUGCGUCUGAUUAGCUUGUUGGCGGGGUAACGGCCCACCAAGGCGACGAUCAGUAGGGGUUCUGAGAGGAAGGUCCCCCACAUUGGAACUGAGACACGGUCCAAACUCCUACGGGAGGCAGCAGUGAGGAAUAUUGGUCAAUGGACGAGAGUCUGAACCAGCCAAGUAGCGUGCAGGAUGACGGCCCUAUGGGUUGUAAACUGCUUUUAUAAGGGAAUAAAGUGAGUCUCGUGAGACUUUUUGCAUGUACCUUAUGAAUAAGGACCGGCUAAUUCCGUGCCAGCAGCCGCGGUAAUACGGAAGGUCCGGGCGUUAUCCGGAUUUAUUGGGUUUAAAGGGAGCGUAGGCCGGAGAUUAAGCGUGUUGUGAAAUGUAGACGCUCAACGUCUGCACUGCAGCGCGAACUGGUUUCCUUGAGUACGCACAAAGUGGGCGGAAUUCGUGGUGUAGCGGUGAAAUGCUUAGAUAUCACGAAGAACUCCGAUUGCGAAGGCAGCUCACUGGAGCGCAACUGACGCUGAAGCUCGAAAGUGCGGGUAUCGAACAGGAUUAGAUACCCUGGUAGUCCGCACGGUAAACGAUGGAUGCCCGCUGUUGGUCUGAAUAGGUCAGCGGCCAAGCGAAAGCAUUAAGCAUCCCACCUGGGGAGUACGCCGGCAA
rnacentral:rRNA from 1 species